GGCUGCGUGGCCUAGUGGUUAAGGCAUCUGCUUUACACGCAGAGGAUCGCAGGUUCGAGCCCUGCCGCGGUCA